rnacentral:rRNA from 1 species
AAUCCGGUUGAUCCUGCCGGAGGCUACCGCUAUUGGAGUUCGAUUAAGCCAUGCGAGUCGAGAGUCUUAGGGACUCGGCGUACCGCUCAGUAACACGUGGGUAACCUGCCCUAUGCUGGGGGAUAACCUCGGGAAACUGAGAAUAAUACCCCAUAGUUCACCACGCCUGGAACGGUGGGUGGAUGAAAGCUCCGGCGGCAUAGGAUGGGCCUGCGACGUAUCAGGUCGUAGGGGGUGUAACGUACCCUCUAGCCAUCAACGCGUACGGGUGUUGGGAGACAUAGCCCGG